rnacentral:rRNA from 1 species
AGACGUCUACAUUAGAUACCCCUGUAGUCCCAGCCGUAAACUAUGCGCGUUAGGUGUAUCGGUGACCACGAGUUACCGAGGUGCCGAAGGGAAACCGUGAAACGUGCCGCCUGGGAAGUACGGUCGCAAGGCUGAAACUUAAAGGAAUUGGCGGGGGAGCACCACAACAGGUGGAGCCUGCGGUUUAAUUGGACUCAACGCCGGGAAGCUCACCGGAUAGGACAGCAGAAUGAUUGCCGGGCUGAAGACUCUGCAUGACUAGCUG